rnacentral:rRNA from 1 species
AUUGAACGCUGGCGGCAGGCCUAACACACGCAAGUCGAGCGAGCGGCGGACGGGUGAGCAAUGCCUGGGAAUUGCCCAGUCGGGGGGGAUAACAGUUGGAAACGACAGCUAAUACCGCAUACGACUGGAUUGCCCAAGUGGGAUUAGCUGGUUAGUGGGGUAAUGGCUCACCAAGGCGACGAUCCCUGGUUGGUGUGAGAGGAUGUGCAGCCACACUGGAACUAAGACACGGUCCAGACUCAUACGGGAAGAAGCAGUGGGGAAUAUUACACAAAGGGGGAAACCCUGGUGCAGCCAUGCCGCGUGUGUGAAGGAGGCCUGCGGGUUGUAAAGCACUAGCAGCGAGUAAGCGUUACUCUCAGAAGAGGCGCCGGCUGACUCCGUGCCAGAAGCCGCGGUAAUAC